UUUACUUAUAUUGUGUUUAUUAUCAAUUCGUUCAUUGGUUUUUAUGUCUGUGUGUGUUUUGCCUGAAUGUAUAUGCAAUCAUGGCAUAGCUGGUACCUGCAGCGGCCAAAAGAAGAUAUAGGAUCCCUAAGACUUGGAUUAUAGAUGAUUGUGAGCCUCCAUGAGGAUGCUGAGAUUCAAACCUGAGUCCUCUUUAAGUUCUUAACAACUGAGCCACCUCUCCAGCUGCUUAUUUAUUUAUUCCUAACACUUUUACUCCUGUAUAUGUGUAUCUUUAUGUGAGCACACACACGUGUAUGAGGGUGCUCAGAGAGGUCAGAGCUGGAACUAAAUAGGUGGUUGUGAGCUAGUAUGAGUGCUAGACAUCAGACUCUGGUCCUCUGCAAGGACAGCAAAUACUCUUUUUUUUUUUUUUUGGAGCUGAGGACCGAACCCAGGGCCUUGAGCUUGCUAGGCAAGCGCUCUACCACUGAGCUAAAUCCCCAACCUCAGCAAAUACUAUGAGUCACUGUGAUGGUUUGCAUAUGCUUGGCCCAGGGAGUGACACUAUUAGAAGGUGUGGCCUUGUUGGAGGAAGUGUGUCACUGUGGGGGUGCACUUGGAGACCCUCCUCCUAGCUGCCUGGGGAUGCUCAGUCUGCUCCUGGCUUCCUUCAGAUGAAGAUGUAGAACUCUCAGCUCCUCCUGCACCAGGCCUGCCUGGACACUGCCAUGCUCCUGCCUUGAUGACAAUGGACUGAACCUCUGAACCUGUAAGCCAGCUCCAGUUAAAUGUUGUCCUUUAUAAGACUUGCACUGGUCAUGGUGUCUGUUCACAGCAGUAAAACCCUGACUAAGACAGUCGUCACCUCUCCAUGCCCUUUGGAUUGCAUUUAAACUCAGCAGAAACCACACUGAGAAUGUGACCAAAACCCACAAGGACCUGGACACCUGGAAUGAGAACUUGGACUGACAGCUCACUGCGCCCAUAUUCUUUGUCCUGGAAAGCCUUGCUAAGUCCGAGGCAGUAAGACUGCUUGAUACUCCAAUCCAUGCGCCUCCAGACGGGAGCUCGGACCUCUCCCUGCAAUAAAUAAAGUGUUCCGUG